UUUGAUCCUGGCUCAGAUUGAACGCUGGCGGCAGGCCUAACACAUGCAAGUCGAGCGGCAGCACGGGAAGCUUGCUUCCUGGUGGCGAGCGGCGGACGGGUGAGUAAUGCAUAGGAAUCUGCCCGGUAGUGGGGGAUAACCUGGGGAAACCCAGGCUAAUACCGCAUACGUCCUACGGGAGAAAGCAGGGGCUCUUCGGACCUUGCGCUAUCGGAUGAGCCUAUGUCGGAUUAGCUGGUUGGUGAGGUAAUGGCUCACCAAGGCGACGAUCCGUAGCUGGUCUGAGAGGAUGAUCAGCCACAUCGGGACUGAGACACGGCCCGAACUCCUACGGGAGGCAGCAGUGGGGAAUAUUGGACAAUGGGCGCAAGCCUGAUCCAGCCAUGCCGCGUGUGUGAAGAAGGCCCUCGGGUUGUAAAGCACUUUCAGUGGGGAAGAAAGCCUUCCGGUUAAUACCCGGGAGGAAGGACAUCACCCACAGAAGAAGCACCGGCUAACUCCGUGCCAGCAGCCGCGGUAAUACGGAGGGUGCGAGCGUUAAUCGGAAUUACUGGGCGUAAAGCGCGCGUAGGUGACUUGAUAAGCCGGUUGUGAAAGCCCCGGGCUCAACCUGGGAACGGCAUCCGGAACUGUCAGGCUAGAGUGCAGGAGAGGAAGGUAGAAUUCCCGGUGUAGCGGUGAAAUGCGUAGAGAUCGGGAGGAAUACCAGUGGCGAAGGCGGCCUUCUGGACUGACACUGACACUGAGGUGCGAAAGCGUGGGUAGCAAACAGGAUUAGAUACCCUGGUAGUCCACGCCGUAACGAUGUCGACUAGCCGUUGGGUCCUUCGCGGACUUUGUGGCGCAGUUAACGCGAUAAGUCGACCGCCUGGGGAGUACG
rnacentral:rRNA from 1 species